CAGUCGCCACGGUAAUACGAAGGGUGCAAGCGUUAAUCGGAAUUACUGGGCGUAAAGCGUGCGUAGGCGGUGAGUUAAGUCUGCUGUGAAAUCCCCGGGCUCAACCUGGGAAUGGCAGUGGAUACUGGCUCGCUAGAGUGUGUCAGAGGAUGGUGGAAUUCCACGUGCAGCAGUGAAAUGCGUAGAGAUGUGGAGGAAUACCGAUGGCGAAGGCAGCCCCCUGGGCCAAUACUGACGCUCAUGCACGAAAGCGUGGGGAGCAAACAGGAUUAGAUACCCCGGUAGUCCCUGUCUCUUAUAC
rnacentral:rRNA from 1 species